rnacentral:rRNA from 1 species
GACAGAGGAGGGAAGCGUUGUUCGGAAUCAUUGGGCUUAAAGCGCGCGUAGGCGGCCUUGUAAGUGUCUUGUGAAAUCCCACGGCUCACCCGUGGAACUGCAGGGCAAACUGCAAGACUUGAGGUCUGUAGAGGCGCCUGGAACUCUAGGUGGAGCGGUGAAAUGCGUAGAUAUCUAGGGGAACGCCGGAGGCGAAAGCGGGGCGCUGGGCCGAUUCUGACGCUGAUGCGCGAAAGCGUGGGGAGCAACCAGG